rnacentral:lncRNA from 1 species
CCCUGCCCGGCGCGACUCAGGGCUGCACACCCCUACCUUCCUUGCCUUUGGGGCUGUCCUGGGGCACCUGCCCAGAACAAGCGCUCCUCCUCUGCCUGCCCCUCCUCCCCUGCCACUCUCAUUCCCCCUGUGCUUUCCUCCCGGCAGCCUCCACCCCCAAAGAGACAACGGUGCCUCACAUCGUGCCGCCCGUGAGCACGGAGAAGACCCCCCCGGCCACGUCUGCCAGCAGCACCUCCAGGACGUCCGUGCCCAGCGAGGCCAGCCCGUCCCCCUGUGCUUUCCUCCUAGCAGCCUCCACCCCCAAAGCGACAACGGUGCCUCACAUCGUGCCGCCCAUGAGCACGGAGAAGACCACCCCGGCCACGUCUGCCAGCAGCACCUCCAGGACGUCCGUGCCCAGCGAGGCCAGCCCCGCCAGCAGCCCAGCAGUGCCAGUGGCCAGGACGUCGCCUGCCCCCAGCAGCCCUCUCAGCACCAGGCUGCCAUCUGCCGCCCCUUCCACAGCCUCCUCCCCGUCGCCCCCAAGCUCCCGGCUCAGGCCCACGCCUACGACCCUGAGGCCCAAGCCCUCUCCCCCGAGGACCAGUGCUCCCACAGAGUCGCCUGCGUCCUCCGCACCCUCCACAGCCAAAACUAGCCCGCUGCCCUCAUCUACGUCCUUCCCUCUCUCAACUGUGUCCUCAGCAGUGCCGAGCUCCUCACAGCCAGCCUCCACCCCCAAAGAGACAACGGUGCCUCACAUCGUGCCGCCCGUGAGCACGGAGAAGACCACCCCGGCCACGUCUGCCAGCAGCACCUCCAGGACGUCCGUGCCCAGCGAGGCCAGCCCCGCCAGCAGCCCAGCAGUGCCAGUGGCCAGGACGUCGCCUGCCCCCAGCAGCCCUCUCAGCACCAGGCUGCCAUCUGCCGCCCCUUCCACAGCCUCCUCCCCGUCGCCCCCAAGCUCCCGGCUCAGGCCCACACCUACGACCCUGAGGCCCAAGCCCUCUCCCCCGAGGACCAGUGCUCCCACAGAGUCGCCUGCGUCCUCCGCACCCUCCACAGCCAAAACCAGCCCGCUGCCCUCAUCUACGUCCUCCCCACUCUCAACUGUGUCCUCAGCAGUGCCGAGCUCCUCACAGCCAGGUAAGGCUCCCUGCUGCCUUCCUUUGCUCUGCUUGCUCUUUGUAGGGAACACAAAUGCCAUUAUUCUUCCUAUCCCUCUUUCCUCCUCCUUCACCAUAACAUUUAUCACUCAUCCUGAUGUCAAACUGUAUGGAACAGCCCGUGGGGGAGUUUGGGCCCCCUGUGCUGGCUGUGUUCCCUGCAAGCUCCUUGUGCACCCUCAGGCUCCUCAGAGGCAGGGCAGCAUCAGAAUCACAGAAUCAUUUAGGUUGGAGGAGACCUACAAAUCAUCUGGUCCAACCAUCCCCCUAGCACCAGUGUCACCACUAAACCACAUAACAAGCACCACAUCCAACCUCUCCUCAAACACCCCCAGGGGCAGUGACUCCACUACCUCCCAUGGCAGCUGGUUCCAGUGCCUGACUGCUCUUUUUGAGCAGCAAUGUCUCCUCAUUGCCAACCUGAACCUCCCCUGGUACGGCUUGAGGCCAUUCUCUUUAGUCCUAUCACUGGUUACCUGUGAGCAGAGGCCGACACCCAGCUCACCACAACUUCCUUUCAGGCAGGGGCAGAGAGCAAUGAGGUCUCCCCUGAGCCUCCUCUUCUCCAGCCCAAACACCCCUGGUUCCCUCAGCCGCUCCCCACAGGCCUUGUGCUCCAGGCCCUUCACCAGCUCCGUAGCCCUGCUCUGGACACGCUCCAGGGCCUCGAUGUCCUUCUGGUAGUGAGGGGCCCAAAGCUGAACACAGCACUCGAGGUGCGGCCUCACCAGAGCAGAGCACAGGGGGACNNNNNNNNNNGACUCCAGGCCUGAAAGUAAUAUGCAGGAAAGGUUUAUCUCACAGGGGCAAAAGGGUUUUGGGAUAGGAAUCAGCAGGGCUCAUUUGGAGAGCUUUAAACUAGAUCUGAAGGGGGAGGGGGUUGUAGCUGGGCUUGCAGCGCCCUAGCAGUGAUGAAGACUGUGAGACCUC